rnacentral:lncRNA from 1 species
UAGGUAGGGUUUUAGGGUUAGGUUUAGGCAGGGUUUAGGGUUAUCAGGGUUUAGGGUUAGGUAGGGUUUAUGGUUAGGUAGGGUUUUUAAGGUUUAGGGUUAGGAAAGGGUUAGGUAGGGUUUAGGGUAUGUAGGGUUUAGGGUUUGUAGGAUUUAGGGUUAGGUAGGGUUUAGAAUUAGGUAGGGUUUUGGGUUAAUUAAGGUUUAGGGUUAGUAGGGUUUAGGGUUAGGUAGGGUUUAGGGUUAAAAAAGGUUUAGCAGGUAGGGUUUAGGGUUAGGUAGGGUUUAGCAGGUAGGGUUUAGGGUUAUGUAGGGUUAGGGUUAGGUAGGGUUUAGGGUUAGGUAGUGUUUAGGGUUAGAAAGGGUUUAGGGUUAGUAGGAUUUAGGGCUAAAAAGGGUUUAGGGUUAGAAAGGGUUUAGGGUUAGGUAGGGUUUAAAAUUAGGUAGGGUUUAGGAUUAUGUAGGGUUUAGGGUUAGGUAGGGUUUAGGGUUAGAAAGGGUUUAGGAUUAGAAAGGGUUUAGGGUUUAAGGUUAGGUAGGGUUUAGGGUUAGGUAGGGUUUAGGACUAGAAAGGGUUUAAGGUUAGAAAGGUUUUAGGUUAGGUAUGGUUUAGGUUAAGAAGGGUUAGUAGGGUUUAAGGUUAUGUAGGGUUAGGUCGGGUUUAGGGUUAGUAGGGUUAGUUUCUAGCCCUAAACCCUAGGUUUUAGGUAGGGUUUUAGGGUUAGGUAGGUUUAGGGUUAGGUAGGGUUUAAGGUUAAAUAGGGUUUAGGGUUAGGUAGGGUUUACGUUUAGGUUAGGUAGGUUUACGGUUAGAUAGGUUUAGUGUUUAGGUAGUAGGAAGGGUUUAGGGAUUAGGGUUAGGUUUAUGUAGGGUUUAGGGUUCGAUAGUGUUAAGUUCUAGGUUUAGGUAGGGUUUAGGGUUAGGUAGGAUUUAGGGUUUAGGUAGUAGGAAAGGUUUAGCGUUUGGUUUAGGUUGGAUUUAGGUUUGGUUUAAAAUAAUGCUUAGGAUUAUAGGGUUUAGGAUUUGUUUGUCUUUUUGUUUAUCCAUU